GAGGGUAUAGCCCAGGGGUAGAGUGCAUGCCUGGCAUGCACAAGGUCCUGGGUUCAAUCCCUAGUACCUCCA
rfam:Camelus ferus unplaced genomic scaffold scaffold1984, whole genome shotgun sequence.